GUCCGCGUGGUGUAGUGGUUGCAUUCUAGAGGGGGUAAUAAAGGCCUGACCUAGGUCAGCCUCCACCUCAUGGGGGCCAGGUUAGAAUCCUGGCACGGGCA